ensembl:snoRNA
AUCCAAGGUGAGUCUCUCUCCAAGGGGCUGACUAGUGCCCCUCUUAGGACAGAGGCAAGUUGGAAUAAAAUCUGACAUGCCUAAGGUCUUUAAGGAACAGGAGAUGCUUACUACUUUUGCGUUCCUUUGGCGGCCUACGUAG